UGAAUACGAGAUGCUACGGCGUCGAAGCAGUCUAUGUCAUACUUCAAAGAAAAGCUUGCACUGUCAUAAACAAAUAAUGCCUGUACCAUAACCGACACAGGUGGGUAGGUAGAGUAUACUAAGGGGCGCGAGAUAACUCUCUCUAAGGAACUCGGCAAAAUGACUCCGUAACUUCGGGAGAAGGAGUGCCUUAUUUUAUAAGGUUGCAAUAACAAGAUCCAAGCAACUGUUUACCAAAAACACAGGUCUCCGCUAAGUCGUAAGACGAUGUAUGGGGGCUGACGCCUGCCCAGUGCCAGAAGGUUAAAGAAGUUGGUUAGCAUCCGCGAAGCUGAUAACUGAAGCCCUGGUGAACGGCGGCCGUAACGAUAACGGUCCUAAGGUAGCGAAACUCCUUGUCGGGUAAGUUCCGACCCGCACGAAAGGCGUAAUGAUUUGGAUACUGUCUCAGAGAGGGGCUCGGUGAAAUAGACUUGUCUGUGAAGAUGCGGACUACCUGCACCAGGACGGAAAGACCCUAUGAAGCUUUACUGUAACUUGGAAUUGAAAUUGGACUUUACUUGCGCAGUAUAGGUGGGAGGCGUUGAGAAUAUUAUUGCGGGAAUGUUGGAGCCAUCAGUGAGAUACCACUCUUGUAAUGUUAGAUUUAUAACUUUGUAUCAUUAUCUGGUCAAAGGACAGUUUCAGGCGGGCAGUUUGACUGGGGCGGUCGCCUCCCAAACGGUAACGGAGGCGCACAAAGGUUUCCUCUGAACGGGUAGAAAUCGUAUCUAGAGUGUAAAGGCAUAAGGAAGCUUGACUGUGAGACCUACAAGUCGAGCAGGGACGAAAGUCGGUCUUAGUGAUCUGACGGUGCUGAGUGGAAAGGCCGUCACUCAACGGAUAAAAGUUACUCUAAGGAUAACAGGCUGAUCUCCCCCAAGAGUUCACAUCGACGGGGAGGUUUGGCACCUCGAUGUCGGCUCAUCGCAUCCUGGGGCGGUAGUACGUCCCAAGGGUUGGGCUGUUCGCCCAUGAAAGCGGUACGCGAGCUGGGUUCAGAACGUCGUGAGACAGUUCGGUCCAUAUCCGGUGUAGGCGUUAGAAUAUUGAGAGGAGCCUUCUUUAGUACGAGAGGACCGAGAAGGACAUACCUCUGGUGUACCAGUUAUCGUGCCAACGGUAAACGCUGGGUAGCUAUGUAUGGAGUGGAUAACCGCUGAAAGCAUCUAAGUGGGAAGCCCACCUCAAGAUAAGUAUUC
rnacentral:rRNA from 1 species